CCAUGCAGUCGAACGGCAGCGCGAGAGAGCUUGCUCUCUUGGCGGCGAGUGGCGGACGGGUGAGUAAUAUAUCGGAACGUGCCCAGUAGCGGGGGAUAACUACUCGAAAGAGUGGCUAAUACCGCAUACGCCCUACGGGGGAAAGGGGGGGAUCGCAAGACCUCUCACUAUUGGAGCUGGCCGAUAUCGGAUUAGCUAGUUGGUGGGGUAAAGGCUCACCAAGGCAACGAUCGGUAGAAGUUGCUGGUUUGAGAGGACGACCAGCCACACUGGGACUGAGACAGAACGGCCCAGACUCCUACGGGAGGCAGGCAGUGGGGAAUUAUUUUGGACAAUGGGGGAAACCCUGAUCCAGCCAUCCCGCGUGUAUGAUGAAGGCCUUCGGGUUGUAAACGUACUUUUGGCAGAGAAGAAAACAAGGUAUCCCCUAAGUACGGGAUACUGCUGACGGUAUCUGCAGAAUAAGCACCGGCUAACUACGUGCCAGCAGCCGCUUGGUAAUACGUAGGGUGCAAGCGUUAAUCGGAAUUACUGGGCGUAAAGCGUGUGUAGGCGGUUCGGAAAGAAAGAUGUGAAAUCCCCAGGGCUCAACCUUGGAACUGCAUUUUUAACUGCCGAGCUAGAGUAUGUCAGAGGGGGGUAGAAUUCCACGUGUAGCAGUGAAAUGCGUAGAUAUGUGGAGGAAUACCGAUGGCGAAGCGCAGCCCCGCUGGGAUAAUACUGACGCUCAGACACGAAAGCGUGGGGAGCAAACAGGGAUUAGAUACCCUGGUAGUCCACGCCCUAAACGAUGUCAACUAGCUGUUGGGGCCGUUAGGCCUUAGUAGCGCAGCUAGACGCGUGAAGUUGACCGCCUGGGGAGUACGGUCGCAAGAUUAAAACUCAAAGGAAU
rnacentral:rRNA from 1 species